AUCCUCUGGCUUCUUUUCUAUAAGCUGGUAUCCCUGUGUAUUGGGGAUGUGUUUGGCUCAUGAAGCUUAUGAGUUCCAUAUUAUUAUUAACUGCUUCACAGAGGAAAAAAAAUCCAUAAACUUAAAAAGCCAGGGGCCGGCCCCGUGGCGCAGUGGUUAAGUUCGUACGUUCCGCUUCCUGGUGGCCCCGGGCUCGCCGGUUCGGAUCCCGGGUGCGGACAUGGCGCCGCCUGGCAAAAAGCCAUGCUGUCGUAGGCGUCCCACGUAUAAAGUAGAGGAAGAUGGGCACGGAUGUUAGCUCCGGGCCAGGCUUCCUCAGCAAAAGAGAGGAGGACUGGCAGUAGUUAGCUCAGGGCUAAUCUUCCUAAAAAAAAAAACAAACCAGCUAAUUAUAUGACUUCUGAUCCAAUUCAGGGCACGCUUUUGCCCCAGGACUCUAGUUGCAGCUGUGAACACAUUUCUUAAUUGUGGCCAUGACUUCUAUUUUUAAGCACUUCCAGAAGUCCUCAGGGCGGCUGAGGAUCAUUCUACACUCCUGCUUUAAUCAUGCUCAGGCCGUCUGAGUCUGCACCUGGAAGAUUAGCCCUAAGCUAACUGCUGCCAAUCCUCCUCUUUGCACUGAGGAACACUGGCCGUGAUCUAACAUCCGUGCCCAUCUUUCUCUACUUUAUAUGUGGGAUGCCUACCACAGCAUGGUUUGCCAAGCAGUGCCAUGUCCACACCCAGGAUCCAAACCGGCGAACACCGGGCCACUGAAGCGGAACGUGCAAACCUAACCUCUGGGCCAUCGGGCCGGCCCCCAUACCAGCUAGUUUUUAUGGAGCGCUAUAGCAGAUGGUGUGGAUGCCUCAUCUCUGACCUCACCUCCAGCCACAGGGAACAGCUUCUGUGCACACUGGAAACUUCUUAUCUUAAGUGUCCAAGUCUCUUUGUUUCUCUUCUUGCAACCAAAAAAGUUUGUUCAGCUCAUGUGCAAGGCUGCUAGAAGUGCUGAAAAUUAAUGCUCUAGGGUCAACUCUUAAGCAACGAGGGCUGAAAGUCAGUGAAUAAAUACGCCGCUUCACCAUCCCUUGGUCGGAUAAUUCUGAAGGAUGCUUCUCAGAGGGUCUUCAGCAGGACUGAGCCCCAGCUGCCCACAGUGGCAAUCAGCUCACCGAUGCACACUUCAUUGGCAUUCCUCCCUCCCCUGCCUUGCUUCUCCCGCUUUUGUUUCUUGGGAUCAUCUUCUCAAUAAAAUACUUAACCCAG
rnacentral:lncRNA from 1 species